rnacentral:rRNA from 1 species
UGGGGAAUUUUGCACAAUGGGGGAAACCCUGAUGCAGCGACGCCGCGUGAUUUAGAAGGCCUUCGGGUUGUAAAAAUCUUUUCUAUGGGAAGAAAAUGACAGUACCAUAGGAAUAAGGACCGGCUAAUUACGUGCCAGCAGCCGCGGUAAUACGUAAGGUCCGAGCGUUGUCCGGAAUCAUUGGGCGUAAAGGGUACGUAGGCGGGUAAGCAAGUUAGAAGUGAAAUCCUAUAGCUCAACUAUAGUAAGCUUUUAAAACUGCUCAUCUUGAGGUAUGGAAGGGAAAGUGGAAUUCCUAGUGUAGCAGUGAAAUGCGCAGAUAUUAGGAGGAAUACCGGUGGCGAAGGCGACUUUCUGGCCAUAACCUGACGCUGAGGUACGAAAGCGAGGGUAGCAAACAGG